GAUGAACGCUAGCGGGAGGCUUAACACAUGCAAGUCGUGGGGCAGCACGGUGUAGCAAUACACUGGUGGCGACCGGCGCACGGGUGAGUAACGCGUAUGCAACCUGCCCUGUACAGGGGGAUAGCCCGGAGAAAUUCGGAUUAAUACCCCAUAAAGAUAUUGAGAGGCAUCUUUUAAUAUUUAAAGCUUCGGCGGUACGGGAUGGGCAUGCGUGACAUUAGCUAGUUGGUAGUGUAACGGCCUACCAAGGCUUCGAUGUCUAGGGGUCCUGAGAAGGUGAGCCCCCACACUGGUACUGAGACACGGACCAGACUCCUACGGGAGGCAGCAGUUAGGAAUAUUGGUCAAUGGGCGACAGCCUGAACCAGCCAUCCCGCGUGAAGGAAGAAGGCGCUAUGCGUUGUAAACUUCUUUUCCAGAGGAAUAAAAUUUUGUACGAGUACGGAACUGAAGGUACUCUGGGAAUAAGCAUCGGCUAACUCCGUGCCAGCCGCCGCCGUAACAC
rnacentral:rRNA from 1 species